UGUAAAUAUAAAAGUAAAUGUAACAUUAAGGAGGUGUAAAGGGGAAAGUGACAUAUAGUAGGUGUAAAUGGGAGUGUAAAGAGGAAAGUGACAUAUAGUAGGUGUAAAUGGGAUUAUAAAUGUAGUGUAAAUAUAAAAGUAAAUGUAACAUUAAGGAGGUGUAAAGGGGAAAGUGACAUAUAGUAGGUGUAAAUGGGAGUGUAAAUGUAAUGUAAAUAUAAAGGUAAAUGUAACAUUAAGGAGGUGUAAAGGGGAAAGUGACAUAUAGUAGGUGUAAAUGGGAGUGUAAAGGGGAAAGUGACAUAUAGUAGGUGUAAAUGGGAUUAUAAAUGUAGUGUAAAUAUAAAAGUAAAUGUAACAUUAAGGAGGUGUAAAGAGGAAAGUGACUUGUAGUAGGUGUAAAUGGGAGUGUAAAGGGGAAAGUGAC
ensembl:lncRNA